GUUGUGUAUUUGUAAAGAAAAGCAAAGUAUCAGCCAGAGUCGACAGUGGCGCUGUGUUGCUUGGCGGAGAGAGAGGGAAGGGGCAGCAUUUUGCAUCUUUACCCAAAACAGGCAAAAGACUUCACAAAAGCAGAUUUAUUAAAUAAAAAAUGAGAAAUCCGCUGUGGUUCAUCUUCUGGCUGAUCAUACUGUUGUGUGUAUCCUUAAUUGUCGCGUUUCUCGGCGCUUUUUUCUACAUUUGGAUGUAUCUGUUGUCCCAAUGCUGCGUUUGCUUUCGGAGUGUUGCAGAUUUCUUUUUGAAGUGCGCCCAGUUUCCAGGUUAUUGUUGUGCAGCCAUGUUAAACUGUCAAUCGUUGUGUUAAUCGGAUCUAAACAUCGUCUCAAAUUCGAUGACUUCAACCCACAAUCUUGGCCGUUCCUGACGACAGCGAGUGCAAGAGUAUGUCUUAUUACUUUUGCAUUUUAAAAUUGGCCACACUUACACCUACACCAAUAUAUAUGCAUGUAUGUAUGUACGUACGAGUGCCACGUAAUCAGCUAAAGCUGCCAAACAGAUUAGCUGUUAAGAUAACGUGCAGCGGGCUUUAACUCGUAACACCCAUGGCACACACACUCAAACACAUUAAUACUCACAUACCCCUUGUACUAUACGUAUGCAUUCAAAAUAGAUAAAAAUCCAUCCAAAUGAGCUGGAUAUUGUUGUUAUGUUAGCUUGUUCAUUUGUUGAUUGAUUUUAAAUAAACUAUACUUGAGCAUUAUUAUUUUG